CCCAUUUAGUUUUACGAACGAUAAAUGAUUUAGAAAAUUCGAAGUAAAUCAAUUCCCUUUUUAAUGCUGUUUGCACAAUCUGACCCAAAGGAGAGCUUAUCCCGCUGGAUCCACGGCGCUAAUAACUGCGUAGUGGGGACGAGGUCCAUCCCGCUUUCUCGGUGGUUCCGAAGAGUGAAAGCUUGAUGUCAAUACAAGAACCAACUGAGCUGCCUGGAGUCUCUAGUUGCUAGCAUAUAAUUCAUUCUACUUUCUCAUUUCGUUAUUGUACCACGCCAUUAUACUUACAUUUCUCUUGAAGUCCUUGCAAUCCAAUCACAUUUACCCCACCAAACAUUCCUCCACAACCAUGCCAUCAGAUCUAGAGCAACUCAUCGAGAUGGGCUUUGAUACGGAAAGGGCUCAGUUAGCAACCUCCAGAACAGGAGGCUUGCAAGGAGCACUCGAAUGGCUUGAGGCCAACCAAGACAAAUCCCUCGACGAGAUCAAAGCUUCCUCCACAACACAGCCGGGCGCAGAUCCAGAUGAGCCACCAGCGUUAAAACCGGGGGAAGAAGCGAGAAGUCUUGUCUGUAACGAGUGUGGGAAGCGAUUCCGCAGCCAGGCCCAAGCUGAAUUUCACGCAUCGAAAACUGAACAUGUUGACUUCGCGGAAUCGACUGAGGAAAUUGCCCCGCUGACGGAGGAGGAGAAGAAGGCUAAACUUGAGGAGUUACGGCAGAAGUUAGCCGCAAAAAAGGCGCAGAGGUCGGAACAGGAUAAAAUUGAUCAGAAACGGAAUGAGG
rnacentral:sRNA from 1 species